rnacentral:rRNA from 1 species
UACAGAGGAGCCAAGCGUUGUCCGGAUUGACUGGGCGUAAAGCGCACGCAGGCGGACGCGCGCGUGGGGUGUGAAAUCUGGCCGCUUAACGGCCAGGCGCCAUCCCAUACGGCGCGACUGGAGUGAUGCAGAGGUCGAUGGAAUUGCCGGUGUAGUGGUGAAAUGCGUAGAGAUCGGCAGGAACACCCAGGGGGAAACCAGUCGACUGGGCAUCUACUGACGCUGAGGUGCGAGAGCGUGGGGAGCAAACAGG